rnacentral:rRNA from 1 species
GAUGAACGCUGGCGGCGUGCCUAAUACAUGCAAGUCGAGCGAACAGACGAGGAGCUUGCUCCUCUGACGUUAGCGGCGGACGGGUGAGUAACACGUGGAUAACCUACCUAUAAGACUGGGAUAACUUCGGGAAACCGGAGCUAAUACCGGAUAAUAUAUUGAACCGCAUGGUUCAAUAGUGAAAGACGGUUUUGCUGUCACUUAUAGAUGGAUCCGCGCCGCAUUAGCUAGUUGGUAAGGUAACGGCUUACCAAGGCAACGAUGCGUAGCCGACCUGAGAGGGGGAUCGGCCAACAUGGAAGUAGACACCGGUCCAGACCCCUACGGGAGGCAGCAGUAGGGAAUCGUCCGAAAAGGGCGAAAGCCUAAAGGAACAACUGCGCGGGGGUGAAAAAGGUUUUCGGAUCGUAAAACCUUUUUAUUAGGAAAAAAAAAAUGUGUAAGUAACCAUGCACGUCUUGACGGUACCUAAUCAAAAAGCCACGGCAAACUCCGU